rnacentral:rRNA from 1 species
GACGGACGCUGGCGGCGUGCUUAACACAUGCAAGUCGAACGGAAAGGCCCCAGCUUGCUGGGGUACUCGAGUGGCGAACGGGUGAGUAACACGUGGGUGAUCUGCCCUGCACUCUGGGAUAAGCCUGGGAAACUGGGUCUAAUACCGGAUAGGACCGUGCUUUAGUGUGUGCGGUGGAAAGUUUUUCGGUGCAGGAUGAGCCCGCGGCCUAUCAGCUUGUUGGUGGGGUAAUGGCCUACCAAGGCGGCGACGGGAAGCCGGCCUGAGAGGGUGUACGGCCACAUUGGGACUGAGACACGGCCCAGACUCCUACGGGAGGCAGCAGUGGGGAAUAUUGCACAAUGGGCGCAAGCCUGAUGCAGCGACGCCGCGUGGGGGAUGACGGCCUUCGGGUUGUAAACCCCUUUCGGCAGGGACGAAGCUUUUGUGACGGUACCUGCAUAAGAAGCACCGGCUAACUACGUG